rnacentral:rRNA from 1 species
UACGAAGGUGGCAAGCGUUACUCGGAAUUACUAGGCGUAAAGGGCAGGUAGGUGGUUCGGUAAGUCUGUUGUGAAAGCUCCUGGCUUAACUGGGAGAGGUCAGCAGAAACUGCCGGGCUUGAGUAUAGGAGAGGGUACUGGAAUUCCCGGUGUAGCGGUGAAAUGCGCAGAGAUCGGGAGGAACACCAAUGGCGAAAGCAGGUACCUGGACUAUUACUGACACUCAGCUGCGAAAGCUAGGGGAGCAAACAGG